rnacentral:rRNA from 1 species
GUGUCAGCAGCCGCGGUAAUACGUAGGUGGCAAGCGUUGUCCGGAAUUACUGGGCGUAAAGCGUGCGUAGGCGGUUCGCUGUGUCCGAUGUGAAAGCCCCGGGCUUAACCUGGGAAUGGCAUUGGAAACUGGCGGGCUUGAGUGUGGCAGAGGAGGGUGGAAUUCCGCGUGUAGCAGUGAAAUGCGUAGAGAUGCGGAGGAACACCGAUGGCGAAGGCAGCCCCCUGGGCUAACACUGACGCUCAGGCACGAAAGCGUGGGGAGCAAACAGGAUUAGAUACCCCGGUAGUCCACGCCGUAAACGAUGAACACUAGGUGUAGGUGAUGUGAAAGUUAUCUGUACCGAAGCAAACGCGUUAAGUGUUCCGCCUGGGGAGUACGGCCGCAAGGCUAAAACUCAAAGGAAUUGACGG